ensembl:snoRNA
AGUAUUGAAAUGAUGAGCUUUUCAUGUCUCUUCUCUGACUAUUUAACUGGAGACACAUAAAGAUCUCUGAUCCUAAUAUU